rnacentral:lncRNA from 1 species
UGAAUAAUGAUGCCUGAUGGAUAUCUGGUGGAUCAAGUGGUCCUUAUUUUGUGAGUGGGGAAACUGGGCUUAGAGAGGUAGAAAGGCUUCACCAAUGAAGCUGUGAAGCAUGAGGACAAGGAGGAGAACUCAAGGUCUGCUACACCAAGGCUCUUGACACCACAGCUUUCCCAGACGUGACUCUUGCCUCCUUUGGGCACUGCUCCUUGGGUGAGCCAUCUCCUCUCAGGCAGUAACCAUCCCCAACCCAUGGCAAUAAUCAGAUGAGGUGGAAGGGAGAGAAUCAUGGCCAGUUUCUUGGUGCUUUCUGCUUUCCUGUGACUCCGAGCCCCUGUCAGCCAUCUCUGUGCCCGUGAUGUGCCCUGGACACAGGCUGAGCGGGCCAGGAGGAGCCCAGGGGCAAGGGUGCUCUGUGGAGUUUGGCCUCCCUGUCAGAACUCCAAGCACCAGAAAAGGCGAGCAGUUUGGUUUCCAUGGCAACCUGCCCACCGGAUCCCUGCAGCUGCAGCCCCUCACAGGCCCCUGAGGCGGGGGGCUGCGGGUGGCCUAAGCCAGCCCUGUGCCCACGUCGGCCCCCGCUGGGUUCAGGCCCUAGGCAGGCUGCUCAUUCUAAGCUGGAGCUUUGCCUGACAUGGUUCCCAUGGGGACGGCUGUGGGCACACGCUGCCUGUGGUCAGAUCCCCAGCUCCCAACUGCCCUGCAAUUCAGGCAGCUCCUCCCAGGCUCAGAGCUUUUGGAAGAAACAGAACCAGGAGACAGAAGAUCUGCCUAUCAGCCGACAGAUGUCUCACCCUCCUACCAUCACAGUACUGUCUGCCAGGUGGACUCUGUUCCUACCUCUGCACCUCCUGACAGCGAAUUCUUCAGCAAGACAGUCACCCCCACUCACCG